UCACUGACAUGAAUAGAGUAGUAAGUAUUAAGAUUUUACAUCAAGGAAUUGGAAGAAAAAUAAGUGAACCUAUCAAAUAAGAGUCUUUUAAUUCUAAAAUUUUAAUAAAUAUGAAAAUAAGAAAAAUAGUUUACAAUGAAAGAGCCAUGUUCCUAUGAAAAUGAUUUAAAAAAUCUAUCUAUAUAUCAGUUUUAUCAUAUAAAUUUAAACUUACAUAAAAUUGAAACUUAUCUGGAAGGAAGCAAAUAACAGUGUUAAAACAACAUGAUUAUGAAAAAAGAUCAUUAUUGAUUUUUAUGUUUUGAAGUCCACUUAAAAUUUAGUUAGUCUUCUUCAUUUAUUAUUUGCAUCUAGUCUUCAAAAUGAUAAUUUCCUGCAAAAUAGGGACAAUGUAAAAUUGUUUUUGCACCUCAAAGUAAAUACUUUAGUUUGUGUUUCAUAAAGGAAAUAAAACCACCAGGAAAAUCAAUGAGAAUUAUUCUCGAUAAAUAUCUUAUUUAAGGACUACCUCAUUCAAAACACCUUGCCAUAAUAAUACUUAACAUUUACUGAGAGUCUACUGUGGGCCAAGAAUUUUACAUAUAUCAUUUCAGUUUAAGCCUCACACUGACUCAAUAAGGUCAAUAUAUAUUUUAACAGAUGUUUAGAACAGUUGGCACACUUUGACACAGUUUCAGAGGAGUCAAGGAAUUUGACAAAGUUCAAAUAUUUGGAGAAGCAGAGAUUUGAGCCCAAUUUGGUUUAAUUCUCAAGUUUAUGUUCUUCUUAACAUACUGUAUCAUGGCCUGCCACAGUUGGGUGCCUUCCAAAGUGAGUAAGAUAUAGAACAUACCUUAUAGGGCCCACAUUACACAUACUCUGAAUUACUGGGCACCCUUUAAAAGAAGUAUGAUAUUUUUCUUCUGUCAAUACUUAUUACCAAAAUAGCAAUACAUAUUUUACCUACAGUAAGCAAAUAAGACUUCACAAUCAUCUUCUUUUGUCUAUUUCUUUGCAUAUUUAAAGUUAUUUUUGUUUCCUUCCAUUUUCUACUGGUACAAGAUUGUAAACUAAAUUUAAUUGUUUAAUUGCCAGAAAUUUCAAAUUAAAACAAUCUUUUCUGAGCAACAUUGAAGAAAUUAGUAUAAAGGGAUAGCUGAAAUUUUGCUUAAUGAAACAAAGUUUCCCUUUUAAAUUAAAGAUCAGUUCAGAAAUAUAUACAAAUAAACACUAACAGUUGCAUUGUGUAAAAUGGGUGUUCUUCUUGUUUUUUCCUGGCUGUUAACCUCUGAUUAAGUGAGCAAGGCAAUGCUUCAGGGACCAUUGAUCAACAUGGUGUUUUUCAUGAAUGGAUGGAGCAGAGCUUCCUUCCUUUUGGACGCAUUUGUGUUAUCAAUUUCCAUUUUCAGUUACUAAAAUCUAUGACUCUCAUAUUAAGCAUUUCUGCAUGAGAAAGAGAUGGUUGCUUACAACCUCAUUCACUUGUAAGAAAACAUAUUCAAGCUUUGGUUUCCUGACAAAACCUCAAAAAAAAAAAAAAACCCCUCAAAUAUAUGUAUGAAUUCCUCCACGGCUCAACUCAAUGACAUACCAGCCGUUUU
ensembl:lncRNA